CCUACGGGAGGCAGCAGUGGGGAAUAUUGCGCAAUGGGGGAAACCCUGACGCAGCAACGCCGCGUGAGCGAUGAAGGCCUUCGGGUCGUAAAGCUCUGUCUUUUGGGACGAAACAUGACGGUACCAAAGGAGGAAGCCACGGCUAACUACGUGCCAGCAGCCGCGGUAAU
rnacentral:rRNA from 1 species